GCUCUUGUAGUUUAGUGGUUAUAAUUUUGCACUUGUACCUGUUACAAGAACUUCGGUUUUCAUAAUGCAAGGGUCUUGAGUUCAAAUCUCAACGGGAGCA